GGAGACGUGGUAGAGCGGUAAUACAACGGAUUGCUAAUCCGUCACUUGCGCAAGCGGUGGGCAGGUUCGACCCCUGUCGUCUCCG
rnacentral:tRNA from 2 species